AAAAAAGCAUUUCUUGACGAAAGCUUAGGAGGUCCUUCUGAAUAAUAUAUCAUGGAAUCAGUUUCCAAUUACCAAAUUCUAAAUUAAAGGUGUAAACUCAUGAAAAUAGUUAUUACUGUGGUGUAAUUGGGAAAGGUUUUCCCAUCCAAUUGUUGUGAACCAUCCCACAACUCGAUAUAUUUGACAACUAAAAUGUCAUAGUCAUAACUGCAUAGAACAAAUAAAUUUUUAACUCUAAACAAAAAUUCAAAAUAUUAAGUCCAAACCAAUUAAAAUACAUAUAAAAUCAAAAUAAAUAACACUAUUACUUUCAAUACUAACCUAUUUGGUUGUAAUGGAAUCUUUUGUUUUAUCAAUGAAAUUUGAGGACCACUCUUUCCUAAGAAGUCGUCAAGAAUUUAAAAAAGGUGAUGGAGUCGAUUAACCUACAAGAUGCAAUUUAACAAGAAUGACAAACAAAUUCAAACCAAAUGAAUUCAUUAACUAUUAAAGAACAUGCAAUUAUUUACCAUUGCUUUAUCAAUCUUCUAUCGACCUUCAAUUCCAUGACCAAUGGAGUCCAACACAUGCAAUUGCCUCGUCCGAAAAUUGAAUGUGUACAACCACCAAUGGUCAUUGAACACGGUUGGCACAAAGAUCUACAAAACAAUGCAAAAUUUAAAUCGACAGUCAACAUCAACAUUCUAAACAACACCAACAAAAUUUGCACAAAACAUCGCCAAUAUUAACUUACAAAAUCACAAUACGAUAUUCCCUGGUAUGAUAAUCAGAACUGGACCAUGAAAUUUGUCCCUCAUUCAUGUUGAUCUCCUCAAUUACACGAGUUUGUAACAACCAACUCUUAUUAUUACUAUUACCAAAAACUUAAAACAAAUAACAAGAAAUUUAAAUGCACACUAACCGCAAAAAGCGGAUUGAAUGAAAACUGAUUCAGCACUCUAAAUUUCACAAUUUGAUUCAGAUUUAACAACCGGUUACAAAUAACAUAACCUACAACCACAUUCAACAUAACUAAGUAAAUAAUAUAAGUACAUACAACAAACACAGCAAUAUGAAAAUUUUUACCAUGUUGUCAACUUUUGACCGCAGCCUUAAUGAUUGCAAAUCCAGCUUUGUCAAAAUAUUAUUUUGUAUGUCCACAAUAACACUACAACAACAUUUAACAUCAACUCAUCAAUCAUGCAAUAACAACAAAUCAAGUAAUAACUAAAAUUACUUAUGUUGCACAUUAAGUAUAGUUACUUACCGUUUUAUGUUAAACUUAAAGGCAAAAUUUUUUUAUACAUCUUCAAAAUAUCCAAACUAGAUGAGCUUGGACCGACACAGGUUGCACUAGCAGAGUUUAGGUUGGGUCCACAUGCACAAAUCCAAGUGACCACUGCUUUUCUUUAUGAAGCAGUUGUCAGACCUCUUUAAGUUGUUUAUCCAAAUCAACAAUUCUAUUUUGGUUAUUUGCAACUUUCUUCUCACAAACUUUAUGUUGGUCAAGUAAGUUCUCCCACUCACUUGUACCAUCACUAGAUUCCCCAACUCCCUCAUCUGAAUCUGCUAAGGCUUCUUUAACAAUUUUUAUACCUUCCUCUUCAGCGGUGACUGGUCAAUCCCAUACAAUAUGAAAAAAACAAUAAUUUAAAAUUACUAAAAAAUUAUUGCAAAAGUAUGCACCAAAAACUUAACCAAUCCAAAAAAUACCUCAGCAGAUAAAAACAGUUUAUGUAACCUUCUUCCACGAUUAUUUACAUAUGGUUAGUGCAAAAAUCGUGAAAAACCAAUACAAUCGACAUGGUCACCAACACCCACAUGGUGAACUGCCCACACCUAUUUCCAAAAAAUAAUACACAAGUAAUUAACAUUUAAUCAAAAUGACCAAUUCAUUACAAAAUCAUAAUUGUACAAAUUUUCACUAACCUGUAACAUGGCAACACAACCUGUCAAAUAUAUUUCACGGGCAUUCUUCUCUUGAUAGUACACUUCAGAUGCCCUCCUCAAACUUGUAGCUAAUACAUUAUACAUUGCACCACAAUUAUAUAAAUCUAACGCAUGUAAAUUGUCUAACAAUUUAAAAGGAAAACAUUUAAAUGUCCUAGAAGUCCUAGGAACAUAAAAAAAACACAUAACCCAAGCAAUAUGUAUAACCUACCAAAAUCAUCUACACUUUUCUUUCUAUUCAAAUUCUUGUCCCACAACAUUUUUACAAUUGUUUCUAAUUUAAUUUUUUCCCCAUCAUCAAACAACCUAUUCACCAAACCUCCCCCGUCAUUCUCCAAUUUCACCUCCCUCCCCAUCCUAAUACAAAACAUACAUCAACAACUGAAAAAUGAAGUAAACUUUUUUGAAUCCUAAAUAUACUGUUAUUUGAUGCCCAUCUACUUAGUAGCUCUCUCAGAAGGCUGUUAGAAAUGUAUAAUACUUUGUCCACUUCAACCAUCUACUUGAAUGGAGUUUGUUGAAUCCUUUCUCGUUAAAAGAUGAUAAGUUUAUGGUUGACAUCAACAAUAUAUUGAGUCUGCACAUUGUGCCUAACUCGUACCUGCAAACUCAUAAAAUAAAAUAAUACCAUCUUUAUUUAUUCAACAAUGUCACUUCACAAAAUAUUCAACUAUUAUGAACACAAUAUAAAAACAGUACCUUCAAUUCAGCUUUUGCACGGGAGAAAAAAAAUCUUGGACAAUGAACUUUCCAUUCUCU
rnacentral:lncRNA from 1 species